AAAUGCGAAAAUAGCGUCAGUCUAGAUUGAUUUUGAAACACAACAGGCGAAUUUGAGUGCCGACAACGAAGGUAGUGAUGUCGGAAAAAGCAAAACGAAUGUACAGACAGACACAGCGCGAGCUGCAGUAUGCACAAAACGGCGUACAUAACAAAAAGAUCGAUUCUACGCUAUCUAGUUCAAUCGGAAAAGUCGCCAGGAAAGAACAAGCGUUUUGGAAGAUCCAAGUCAACCUACACAGAGUUGACAUCUACGUAGAAGUGUUUCUACAGGUACAGACUGACUUCCCACAAUGAGGGGGACAUAUGGCACCCUCUGUAGCAAGGGGGCAACCCCACCCCUGGAAAUGGGAGCAGGAGGUCUACGCCCUUUCGACUUACCGACCAGGAGAGGAGGGGGUCAUAGCCUCUCUACCCCGACCUUGAUAGCCAGAGGGCUAUCCUUUGGAUAGUAGAGCGCAAACGGUCAAAGAUGGGCCUACUGUAUUCAAAUUUGGUACCUUGAGUUGACAUAAAUGACGGCAAUCGCAAUUAAUAUUAAUACCAGAGUUUAAAUAUAGGCUGAGUUUUUUCAAGGGGCGUCUAAGGGGAGCCUCUUGAUUUAAAUCUUUCUCGAGCCACCGGUCGUAACAUAUAUGCACCUGCCGUUUGCCGGCGGUGCCCGACUGAGCCGUUCAGUGACGCAGUAGUAUUGGUUGGGGAAUUAUGUACACGUCCAUGUCAUUUAGAAGUGAAUGUGCAUUCGAUAGCACGUCCGAAGGACGGAUACAGCUACUAGUUAGUUAUAUAAGAAUCUUACUUUGUUGCAAUUAUUUCCAUGAGUAGCAACGUAAAACUAAUUACGAUAAAAAUAAAAACUAAUCAUGAAAUAAUUAUAUAACUAUAUCGAAAAAGGCUUGAAGUGUUUCUCGCCGAUAGCAAAUCAUGGCUAUUGGUUACAAUAAAUAGUCUUAAUUAUGAAUAAUAUAGUAAAGAGGAUAUUGUUACUAAUACUGCUUUUAAGCAUAUCUUAGUUUAGCCAGAACACUGAGCUGAUUAACAGGUCUCCUAGGGCUGGCUCAAAGGAUUAGAUUUGUAUUUAUGUGGCUAGGAACCAUAUAGCUUAUUGUGGGAUACAAAACACAUUAUAUCGAGAAAUAAAUAUCUGAUCGUCAGAAAUAAAUUCCUUUGGUUCGACAUUGGCGGCAGCGGCGAGCGAACCUUGGCUACCAGACUGAUAGGCGACUAUGAAACCCACUCGCCAAAUGAGGAACUACUUAUAGUGCUUAAUUACGUAAGAUAGACAAUCCUAAUAUUACUGAAUUGUGGAUAGGAAGAGAUAUGCAACUGAAUCAAAAUGUAUUAGAGGACAAAUUCAUUAGCAAUAUAAUGGCAUAUAUGUGCAGUUUUCGAGUACUUCGGUAAAUGUCUAUGACGAUUCGUUUAAAAGAUAGUUUGUAGGUUUAAACCACGUGUGAUUUACAAUAAAGUAUGGAUUCAUUGUGAUUAAUAUUAUCUACAUUCAACGACAUUUUUGUGUUAGUAAAAAUUUAUUAGCAUAGUACGCCUGAAGUACAGUAUGUGAGAAUUUUGUACUGAAAGAAAAACUCGAAUUCCUCAGUUCCUUGUUACUGAUUGACAAAGUUCGAGAGAAGGAAGGGUCUUUUGUCGUUGGGGAUGUCGUUGGUUACAGGAGAAGGGCCAAUGUUUAUCUUGGAUCGCUCAGAUAUCGAAUUGCUCUGGCGUGACCCUUCAGAGGGGAGGAAGCACAGGAACGACUUUACUGGGUUCCAAUUAAAAAACAAGAAAGGACGUAAAUAACCUUAACUAGAGGGAACUUUUUAAGAGCGUUUAUAUUUUCUUGCAAGCACUUAGAAUAUGAAAAGCCGUUAAAUAGGAAUUACGUACUUUUUUAAUUCUUCCCCUCUUUUGUUAUGGUUUCUAAAAUGAGUGAACUUGGUGAAGAAUUAAACUGGUCUUUAAAGUUAAAGUUGAUACUUCGAGAACGUUAUGUACUAUAACAAAGCUCAGAAGCUCAGUUUUGCAUACUUACAUUGUGGGAGUGCCACAGGAGG